GGGAAACUGUGGCUAAUCCUCGAUAGGAAAUUUGGCCUGGAACGGUNUCUUUCCCAAAACCGGCUCGCCGUGAGACACGGGCCUUAGGAUGGCGUUGCGGCCGAUUAUGCUAGAUGGCGGUGUAAAGGACCACCAUGGCGACGAUCGGUAUGGGCGAUGGAAGUCGGAGCCCAGAGUCGGCUACUGAGACAAGGAGCCGAGCCUUACGAGGCUUAGCGGUCGCGAAAACUCGCCAAUGCACGAAAGUGUGAGUGGGCUACUCCAAGUGUCAUUCUUACGGAUGACUGUCGCUCAGUUUUACAAGCUGAGAAAGGAAGGAGAGGGCAAGGCUGGUGCCAGCCGCCGCGGUAAAACCAGCUCUUCGAGUGGUCAGGACGAAUAUUGGGUCUAAAGCGUUCGUAGCGGGACAUGUAGGUUCCUGGUUAAAUCCGAUGUCACGAGCAUCGGGCUGCUGGGAAUACCGCAAGUCUUGAGAGCGGGAUAGGACAGGGGUAGUAUAUGGGCAGGGGUGAAAUCCAGUGAUCCAUAUGCGACCACCGAUGGCGAAGGCACCUGUCUGGAACGUAUCUAACCGUGAUGGACGAAAGCCAGGGGAGCGAACCGGAAUUAGAUACCCGGNUUAGUCCUGGGCCGUAAACGAUGCCGACUAGGUGUUGCAC
rnacentral:rRNA from 1 species